AUUGAACGCUGGCGGCAGGCCUAACACAUGCAAGUCGAGCGGAUGAAGGGAGCUUGCUCCUGGAUUCAGCGGCGGACGGGUGAGUAAUGCCUAGGAAUCUGCCUGGUAGUGGGGGAUAACGUCCGGAAACGGGCGCUAAUACCGCAUACGUCCUGAGGGAGAAAGUGGGGGAUCUUCGGACCUCACGCUAUCAGAUGAGCCUAGGUCGGAUUAGCUAGUUGGUGGGGUAAAGGCCUACCAAGGCGACGAUCCGUAACUGGUCUGAGAGGAUGAUCAGUCACACUGGAACUUGGACACGGUCCAGACUCCUACGGGAGGCAGCAGUGGGGAAUAUUGGACAAUGGGCGGAAACCUGAUCCAGCCAUGGCGCGUGUGUGGAGAAGGUCUUCGGAUUGUAAAGCACUUUAAGUUGGGAGGAAGGGCAGUAAGUUAAUACCUUGCUGUUUUGACGGUACCAACAGAAUAAGCACCGGCUAACUUCAUG
rnacentral:rRNA from 1 species